CUUGUUCACAACCUGGAUUAGGAGCACUCCUUUCAUUACACUGCAAAUAAAAACUUGGUGUUAUUUUGCUCUCCUGAAAGACAUUAAUCCAUUAAUCUGAGCUACUUAGUGGCAUUAGAAGUGGAAAAGCAGCUCAGUUCUCCUUGGAAUUUACUGCAAUGUUUGGCUUUUUAAAUCUCUUCCUCUCAGCCCAUGGCAACGCUCAACUCCUCCAACCAGCCAGAGAGAGGAGAGAUGGGGAACGGGACACUGGUCACAUACCCACCGAGGCUGGGAUCAGCCUUGGCUGGAGAUGAUGCCAAAACCCAGCAUUUCUCCUCCUCUUCAGAGAUGGAGAGCAGAAGCCUCCCUCCCCUGUCCUCCCCUCUGAAGGCACAAAGCCACCUCUGAAACACGACCUGCUCUGAACAUCACCCAGCUUGUGUGCUCAGCAGUUUGGGGCAGUGUGGGUGGCUGGAAGAGGCAUACAGGUUCAACAGAAGGUGAGCUGAGAGAUAAGCCAAGCUCUGAACUGGACUAAAAACAUGACAUGAAAACCGGUCAUUACUUCCUGGGUCACUGACUUUCAUCUGCCAUGGAUUAGUCCUAAACUUAUUUUUCUAUCAACUUCCUCAAGGAAAGUUUGGUUGUUGUUGUGGGGUGUUUUUUUUUCUUUUAAAUAUUACUUUAUUGUUUUAAAGGACAAAAAGCUCACCUGGCAGUGGCUAUAAGAUCCCAACUCAAAACCAGACACAAGACUCUAUUAUUUCAUUCAAGCUUUUCCAGAGACUACUCUCACCCUUAGGAGACACACACAGGGCAAUGACUAAGGGUUAAUUUUAGUGAGAACAGGGAGCCCUGCAGCAAUCCUCUUCUGUGGAUAAACGAUAUUAUGUGGUUUCCUAACACAGUGAGUCCAGUAAAUUCAGACGUCAAGGAAAUGACAAAGCAUGCAAAAGAGAAUCCUGGGAAAACAGACACCACUGUGACGAAUGCCUGAAUGGGAAAGCACCCGUUCAACGACAUGUACUUGAAACAUCUCUGAAUCAAGAGAGGCAAGAACCAACGCAGGCAUGUGUAGCAAUGGUGUGAACUUGUCUGUUCAUGCUGGUGCAGGCUGCUUAUUGCAAAACAACCUGCUCCUGAAGGUCAGAGCAGGAGUCAGGCAAGGGUGAAAUGAUAUAGAAAUGUUCCUGAGAUAAAUCAGAGGGUGUCUCUCGAAACGCCCCACGUCACCACAUGAACUGCGAUGCACUUACUGGUCAACCCAACAUCAAUAAGAGCAACAUCCUAGGAGACAAAUGCAUCCCUAAUGUGUACAGUAGCACCCAGCGUGUUCAGUGGGAACCCGAUGUUCCCUCCAACAACAGCAGUUCUGUCAACAGGAAGUGAAUUGCUCAUUCUGGUGUUCUGAAAGAAGACCUAAGGCUUCUUCAUCACACAUCAGUGCAAACCACAUCUUCUGCCACAACGCUAUGACCGCUAACAUCAAACAUCACCCAAACGGCCAAACUUUCUCACCGCUGUAAUCUCCUCUUAUCCCAUCCAUGCCUCAGGAUGUUAUUAACUCCGUACCAUUCUUAUGGGGUAACCACUGCAAAAUUAGUGUUUUCCCUUCACUUGUACCUUUUUGCCAACUGCUGCAGAGGAUUUUUCCUGAGCCCCAGGCUGCUGCUUUGGAACUGAUGGCGCUUUAGCUGAGAUCUGCUCAUCGCUGUGAAACAACAGCAUUUCUCUUCCAAGAUGCCCAGCAAGAAAAGUUGGCUUGUAAAGCCUUCAUUGCCUACUGGAGCAAAUGGAGCAAUCAGAUGCUGACCCACUAUGAAAGGAAGCAGUCAGCGGUUGCUCUUCACAACACAUACAGAAAUACAGAUAUUUAAAACCAAAUCUUAAGUUUUUCCAAAGUUAAUUCAGCUGCCAGAAAAGAUCUUGUCAUGCAGCAUACCAGUAACCUUUUCAGUUUCCUUUCCCUUAGCCUUUUGUAAACCAGCUC
ensembl:lncRNA